CUGGAUACAAGCAGCAGACCAAUCGUUCUGGCUAGGCUUGGGGUAGGUAGUCCAGCAGUGGACGUCUGUGGGCUGAUAGAUAGA